AUACAUUGAUAAACUAAUCUAACACAUUUAAAUCGUGUAGAACGAAAAAUCUAUUGUCUGUAUGGUGGUUCGAUAACAGUCAUUCAAUACAGAAAUAAUUCUGAAAUUAAUUAUAUCAUUACUGACAAUUAUUAAAUCUGACGAAAAUCAAAUUCAGACACCAUUCGGAAAAAAAUGUCAAAAAUUGAAGAAGGAAAUCUUCAUAUACGACAAGCUGAGAAAAGCUUGAAAACAUCACUAUUAAAAUGGAGACCUGAUUUCGAAGUUGCGGCAGACGAAUAUACAAGUGCAGCAACUUGUUUUAGAAUAGCAAAAUCUUAUCAACAAUGUAAAGAUUGCUUAAUGAAAGCUUCCGAUUGUUAUAAAGAAAAUAGAUCAUGGUUUCAUGCUGCAAAGAGUAUUGAACAAGCUACUUUAAUUUGCAAAGAAAUGGGAAAUCUUACAGAAGUUUCAAAAUUAGCACACAGUGCUUGUUCUUUAUACUUGAUGCAUGGAUCGCCUGAAUCAGGUGCAACUGUACUUGAUAAAGGAGGAAAAAUGAUAGAAGCUACUCAACCACAAGAGGCACUAGAUUUGUUUAAACGUGCUGCUAGUAUUGUUAUGGGUGAAGAUAGUCCACGUCAAGCAGCAGAAUAUAUGAGCAAAGUGGCAAGAUUAUUAGUAAAACUACAAAUGUAUGAUGAAGCAGCAGAUGCAAUUCGUAGAGAAAUUGGAAUGCAUCAACAGACAGAUCAUACAUCAUCUGUUGGUAGAUUAACAGUAGCAUUAGUCUUAGUACAAUUAGCUCGAGGUGAUCAAGUAGCUGCUGAAAAAGCUUUUAAAGAAUGGGGAAAUUAUUGUGAAGCACCUGAGAUCAAUACAUUAGAAAUGUUAUUACAAGCAUAUGACAAUGAAGAUGCAGAUGCUGCAAGAGCAGCCUUAAAUAACCCUUUUAUUAAACACAUGGAUGUUGAAUAUGCUAAACUUGCUAGAGGUUUACCUUUGCCACAACAAGAAUAUGCAAUACCUCCUCCAGGAGUAAGAGCUAAUGCAGCAGAAUCAUAUACAUCUCCUAACGCAUCAAAAUUAAUGGAAGAAACUACAAGUGAAGUUCAAAACAUGAGUAUUAAAGAAUCUGAGGAUACUCCAAAAACAUCAUCAGAAGACACUAUUGAAAAAGAACAAACACAAGCAGCAUUUUCAAAAAAUAUAAAUAAUGAUGAAGAAGAUGAAUAUGAAGGACUAUGUUGAUUAUGCAUUCUUAUUAAAAUUGAUAAUUUAUAUCUCAAAGUAUAACAAAAUUUAUUUUGUAAAAGAUAUAAGAUAUGCCUGCAAAUAUAUAUAUAUAUAUAUAUAUAUAAAAUAUAUAAUAUAUAAGAAUUACAUAUAAAAGAAUUCAUAUAUAAUUAUAAAUGUUAAAUCUUGUUAAAUCAUUUAAUGCAUAUUUAUUAGCUUAGUAAAAAAAUUAAAAAAAAAAUUAUAUUCAUAAAAAUAUAUCUAAAAAUGUGAUGCUUCUAAUAUUAUAAAAAAUUUUAUUUAUUUGAAAUAUUUAAGUUGUAUUCUAUAAAUAUAGUUUUUCUUGUAUUACAAAGAAUUCUAUAACAAGAAAUAAAUAUGUAAUAUAUAUAUAUAUAUUUAUGUUUAAUAGAAUGUUUGUAAGAAUAUAAUCCUUAAAAAAUACAGUUUGCAUAUUGAUAUUAGCUUUGUAAACAUAUUUUUUAGCACUUUCAGAAUAUAUAUAUUGCAAAUUUUAAGUCAAUAAAAAUGUACAAAACACGAAUAUUUUAAUAAUUUUAUGUUAAUAAACUGUAAAAAUAUUCAUAGAAAAAUAAAUUGUUAUUGCAAAUAUUUAAGUAUAUGUAAA